rnacentral:tRNA from 1 species
CCUCCCAUAGCUCAGCGGUAGAGCAUUCGGCUGUAAAUGGUGCAAGACAAUACCUGGUUUGAAAUCAGUUUGGAUGACGUGCACUUAGCCGUUCCCGAAGUGUCUCCGGUUCAAAUCCGGAUGGGGGGA